GGUGAAGUCGUANCAAGGUUUCCGUAGGUGAACCUGCGGAAGGAUCAUUC
rnacentral:rRNA from 3 species